ensembl:lncRNA
UGAUGAACAAUGCAGAAUCUGUGAAGAUAAUUCUCAUCCAUUUAGAAUCUCUUCAGAUGAUUCUACCCAUUUCAUGUAUUAAUCUUCAUUGUUGUUGCCUUUCGCAGGCAACCGUGAUGUUCGUUGCUUAGGGGAGCCUGCGGCUUGGCCAUAUACCGAGGUGACACCAAUAUGAUGAGCGGUCAGCACGAUAGCACUGUCUCUCUAUGCUUAGGGAGAGGCCUGUCCCGUACAUCCCGUGCCCCCGCAAGACGCCUACUACAACAACUGUAAGCAUAUUCUCCUAUUCAUUUUUAUGGUUAUGUUCAUUUGCUUUGUUAUCUAUAACAGAUAUGAUGUUUCUGCUAUCUGAAUGCUAACAUUUUAGGCUGCACCU